UAGGGAAUCUUCGGCAAUGGGGGCAACCCUGACCGAGCAACGCCGCGUGAGUGAAGAAGGUUUUCGGAUCGUAAAGCUCUGUUGUAAGAGAAGAACGUGUGUGAGAGUGGAAAGCUCAUCAAGUGACGGUAACUACCCAGAAAGGGACGGCUAACUACGUGCCAC
rnacentral:rRNA from 1 species